ACUUUGAAAAAAUUAGAGUGCUCAAAGCAGGCCGUUCUCGCCUGAAUAAUGGUGCAUGGAAUAAUGGAAUAGGACCUCGGUUCUAUUUUGUUGGUUUUCGGAACACGAGGUAAUGAUUAAGAGGGACAGACGGGGGCAUUCGUAUUGCGACGCUAGAGGUGAAAUUCUUGGACCGCCGCACGACGAACUACUGCGAAAGCAUUUGCCAAGAAUGUUUCCAUUAAUCAAGAACGAAAGUCAGAGGUUCGAAGGCGAUCAGAUACCGCCCUAGUUCUGACCAUAAACGAUGCCAGCCAGCGAUCCGGCUGCGUUCCUCAAAUGACGCGCCGGGCAGCUUCCGGGAAACCAAAGCUUUUGGGUUCCGGGGGGAGUAUGGUUGCAAAGCUGAAACUUAAAGGAAUUGACGGAAGCGCACACAAGAAAUGGGGCCUGCGGCUUAAUUUGACUCAACACGGUGCAACUCACCCGGCCCGGACACAGGAAGGAUUGACAGAUUAAGAGCUCUUUCUUGAUUCUGUGACAGGUGGUGCAUGGCCGUUUCUAGUUGGUGGAGUGAUUUGUCUGCUUUAUUGCGAUAACGAGCGAGACUCUAGCCUACUAAAUAGGCGGACCUUCAAUUUACCGAGGUCCGUUCUUCUUAGAGGGACAAGCGGUGUUCAGCCGCACGAAACUGAGCAAAAACAGGUCAGGAUGCCCUUAGAUGUUCGGGGCCGCACGCGCGCCACAUUGAAGGAAUCAGCGUGUGCUUUCCCUCUCCGAUAGGAGUGGGUAACCCGUUGAAACUCCUUCGUGCUAGGGAUAGGAAAUUGUAAUUGUUUUCCUUGAACGAGGAAUUCCCAGUAAGCAUUGAGUCAUCAGCUCGUGUUGAUUACGUCCCUGCGCUUUGUGCACACCGCCCGUCGCUAUUAUCGAUGAAUUUUGGAGUGAGAUCAU
rnacentral:rRNA from 1 species